rnacentral:misc_RNA from 1 species
UUAAGUUCAGCGGGUAUUCCUACCUGAUCCGAGGUCAACCAUAGAAGCGCGCCCGGGCAGUCCAGGGGACUGAUGAGGCACUGUUUUACGGCCGGACACGACGCGAGCAUUUCUAACGAGGAUAUUUACUACGUUAUUGUCUCGCAAGAGGCAUCCGCCGCUGUAUUUGAGGGCCGCCGUACGGCAGAGCCCCAACGCCA